UUUAAAGUCUAACCUGCCCAAUGAGGAUUUAAAUGGCCGCGGUAAUUUGACCGUGCAAAGGUAGCAUAAUCAUUAGUUUUUUAAUUGAAAGCUGGAAUGAACGGUUGGACGAGAAAACAACUGUCUCAAUUUAAGUGUAUAUAGAAUUUUAUCUAUAAGUAAAAAAGCUUAUAUAAUUUUAAAAGACGAGAAGACCCUAUAGAGUUUUAUAGUUUAUUUUAUUAAUUAGAUUUAGAAUAUUUAUAUUUUUGAUAAUUUAACCUAUUUUGCUGGGGCAGCAGAAAAAUUAAUAUAACUUUUUUUAUUUUAAUACAUUAAUUUAUGUUUAAGUGAUCCAUUGUUUAUGAUUAUAAGAUUAAAUUACCUUAGGGAUAACAGCGUAAUUUUUUUUUAGAGUUCUUAUCGAAAAAAGAGUUUGCGACCUCGAUGUUGGAUUAAAAUUAACUUUUGGUGUAGGGGCUAAAUGGUUAGGUCUGUUCGACCUUUAAAAUUUUACAUGAUCUGAGUUUAAACCGGCGUGAGCCAGGUUGGUUUCUAUCUUUAAAAUAUUUUAAAUAUCUUAGUACGAAAGGAUCAGAUAUUUUUAAAAUUUAAUAUAAUUUGAAUAUGAAUA
rnacentral:rRNA from 4 species